UAGUUAGGUUAGUAUAGCUACAUUAAAAUAAACAGAGAAAUAUUAAUAAAUAAACCCGAGGUUGGCCGAAGGUGAAUUGUUCGGGUGUAAUCGGGAAUGGCAGAACUUUAUGUGCAUCUUAGGUUUCUCCGUUCGGGAACAUCGCAAAAAAAAAAAAAUGAUACUUGUAAACAAGCAACCGUUAUCGCCGCACGAGUGCACAAUAUGAAAAUUAAAAAAUUCGAUAUCUCCAAAAGUAUUUGGAAUUUCUUAUCUCAGCCGGGUUUAAUGAAAAGAGGAAGUUUAAGAGCACAGAAUAAAGGUAUUUUCGGAUUUUUAAAUUUUUUUUUAAAAAAAAUCGCCAAAAAAUGAAGAUUAAAAAAUUCGAUAUCUCCUAAAGUAAUUGGAAUUUUUUAUCUCCGCAGGCGGUUCUGAAGAGAGGACGUAAGAUAGCAUAUAAUGAAAGUUAUUUCAUAUUUGUACGAUUUUUUUUGGCGCUAAUCCGUACAAUACAUAUUUACCCAAAUGAGAGGCAGUUAAGCCUGGUUGAAUUUUUGUUGUACAUUGUCCAUUUUAGUAGCAGUGGCUACCAUGUAGUAAGAGGCACUCAUUGGCCGAAGAGGUUGGCCUACAGAGAAUAGGCACUACGAGUAUGGUUUGCAUGUCAAAUCCAGCCAAAGGAUAACUAAGAGGUGUAUUGUGAUUGGGUUAAAGUCCCAAGAGAAUACAGAUAGGUUUGUUGCCCUGUGAAGAGUUUGAGUGUUUGAUGAAGUUGAAAGCAGAAGGUUAAUUUUUAUGCAGCUUCAUUGACACUUUAAGACAGGUUUCCUGUGAAAGUACGGACAGAGAUUGGGGUUAAGGCUAAGAUCCUUAGUUUUGCAGCCACCAGGGAAAUUAUUUCUCCCAUGAAUAUCAUUGUAGGUAAAAAUACAUAAUAUCCACAGUAUUGUAAAUAAAGCUUUUCAGGUAAAUAUGUAGUUAGGCGGUAUUUGCGAAAAAAUUUUUAAAAAUCCGAAAAUACCUUUAUUAGAUGCUCUUCAACUUCCUCUUUUCAUUAAAAGUGGCGGAGGUAAGAAAUUCCAAAUACUUUAGGAGGUAUCGAAUUUUUAAAUUUCAUCACAAUACUGUGCAUUAAUGCGGCUUCACCAUUGUUUCUUGUUUACGUUUUACGUUUACGAGUAUGAAUUUUUUUCAUUGGAGAAUGUCGUCACGUGAUAGUUGUGUGAUUGGCCAAAAUUCAAAUGAACCAAUAGGCUCGCAAGAUUAGUGAAAGAAAGGAAGACGUUGGGGUUGGUACAGAUCUCUCUGCCUGAUGAUGAUGAUGGUUCUGCAAAAACAACAUUGCCAGAAAGCCAAAGUGUUGAUACUUUGGCACCAGCAGUAACCAGCAUGGCAUCGAACUACGACCUUCUCCCCCACUGGUAGUGGUUUACGAGUCUCCACUGCCACGGACAGAUCCCGGACUCAGCACGCUAAAUGGUCGGAUGCUGGCCGAUGUACGUCACUUCAUGGUGCAGUGCCGUCUUCUAGAGUGACACAGGUAAAAUUUUGACGUGACAACGUCUAAUAAAUCGAUGAACGCCAGCUGCACGCACGAAAAAGGAUGACUCAUUGUCCCGUUACGCUCAUUGUAGGCUUGCGCCGCAUCUAUCUCUCUUCCACUCGAUUGGAACAACCAUCGAUUUGACUUUUUCGAGGCACAUUAAACUUAAAACACUCCCAUUCGUUUCCUACUUUUCCUAUCAUCGUCCUAUCCUUGACAGAAUAACACAGAUUGGAAGAAGUUAAAUAGCAAACAUGUAUAAAAGUUAUAGUUAAAAUAAUCUUUUAGUUAAAGUACCUAAUAAACAUAUUAGAAUUAAUGAGUGCAAAUUAAAGUAAAUUUAUCAAUUAAAUUGUAGAUUUCAUUUCACUCCUUCUUUGUAUCCAUACAAAAUAAUGAUAAUUCAAUAAAAAUGAUUCAAUUUUAUUCAUAAAAGUAUGCAAUCAUUUCAUCAAUGUUUUGAUAUGACGUCACGUUAAACUAUCGUCCGUAAACCGACUUUACAGUCAACCAAUUUUUUUUUCACGUAAAGUGGAGUAAUUUUUUUUUCUUAAUUAAAAAUAUUUCUAUAGACUUCUAAGCAUUUUGCCGGCUGUAAGGUUGAAAAUUCUUCCGCGGACUUCAUGUUUCAAUAUUGAUUUAAAUAAAAAUAUCUAUUUGUGUGAUUUUGACAGCAAGGGUUGGCCAGUAUGGUCACAAUUGAGGAAUUCAACUAAUAAACUGGCAAAACACGAUGGUGGAAAAAAAAUUGAACACCAAAAAAAAAAUUAUCAGGCUAAAAUAAUUGAUUUUUUCCCAACUCACAAAAAACAAACAAUAUUUGCUAGUCUCAGAAAUUGCUCAUGUUUACAAUGUGGCCAUAUUACUUUCAUGCACCUUAUAAUUUAAUUCAAUCAGAAUAUUUGGAAUCAACUUAACUAAGUUAAAACCAUUCCCACGAUUGCCCGAUAUUUAACUUACAUACAGAUACAUGUAAACAUUUUUUAGUUGAUAGAAUAUUAAUAAAUGAAUUUUAUAUCAUAGUUUAAAAAAACCUGCAGUAAUAUUUCCAUGAGAAAAUUUGUUUUUCAUGCAUUUAAUUAGCGACAUCAUGAUUUUACCAUGUUAGUUUUAAGAAGUUUUGAAAAGUAAUUACAAAAUAUGAUCAUUGGAAAGAUGUCACACAAAUAACAAAGUUUGUUUAGUUCGUUUACUCAACGUAAAUAAAUGUAACACAUUUUCGUUUUACAGAAUGGGUAUUCUUAAGUAGCCUACAUGUUUAGAUUUAUUAAGAAAUUUAGGUAAAUAUGUAGUGUACGUAUUAUCGUCAAAAAUUUUUUUAAAAAUAUGAAAUAACUUUUAUUAUAUGCUCUUGUACGUCCUCUUUUCAUUACAGCCUGCAGAGAUAAGAAAUUCCAAUUUUGGAGAUAUCGCCGUUCUUAUUUUGCAAUACAAGACCUAUUUAAUCAUUCGACCGCCGCCAUUUUAUAUUAUGCAGUGUGUGCGUGAAUGCCUAAAUAACAGAAAUUUUCCAUUAGGUAAGGUUAGUUACAUUAUAAAUACUUCAAAAUAAAUGGAAAUAAAAAAUAAUAUCAAUUAAUUUUACUUGUUUUAUAGUUUUAAGUAUUUAUAAUGUAACUGACCUGACCUAACAAACCGGAACAAAGGAUUAACAGUAGGAACGAACGUAAUUUUUUUUUACGCGCAACAAAUAACAAAUAAGCAUAAAAAUUUGAAACGUUAAAAACUCACCUAAGUUGAAGGCGGGUACACUUCCUUUGCCAUUAGUAGGAAAUGAUGAUAAAUGAAUAAAUCAUCACCUAUUGGUUCAUUUGAAUAUUGGCCUAUCACGAACUAUCACGUGACAACAUUAUCCAAUAAAAAGCAAUUGAUACUCGUAAACAAAAAACAAUGGUGAAUGCCGUGUGAAUGUACAGGUAUAGUGAUUAAAAUUUAAAAAUUUGAUAUCUCCAAAAGUAAUUGGAAUUUCUUAUCUCCGCAGGCUGUAAUGAAGAGAGGACGUAAAAGAGCAUAUAGGCCUAGUGAAAGUUAUUUCAGAUUUUUAAAAAAAAUUUUGACGAUAAUCCGUACACUACAUAUUUACCGAAAUCUAAUGUAAAUAUUAUUUGUGAAAAUGUACCAAUUUUGUGUUGUGCCCGGUGAAUAACGCACAUGAGAGUCAAUAUAACUUCGUUUGAAAUUGUGGUUUGACUACCGAUUAUGUUACACAGCAAUGCAAUCAAUGUCACGGUAGAAUUUUUUUAAAUCAUUCAACUUUUUAUAGAGUAAAUAGUGUUUUAAUGAGUUAAAAGUUAUGAUUGCAAACAUUUAUUUUGUCGGUUCAGCAAUUUUGUCACGAUAGCGUUGUCUGAAGCACCCCAAAACACAGUAAGGGCCAUGUCUAAACUUAAGGUCAUUAGAAACGGAUGAAGUGUAAACAGACUAGAAUGUAGCAGCAAUAGAAUGCACAUGGUAUGAGAAAUGGCAGCAACUCAUAAAGAACAAAGACUGAAGCGGUUCUCACAUGUAGAAAAACCAGGCUUGAGCCCAAUUGUAAUUGAAACCUGAUCACCUUGUAAGCAAUUGAUCUCAUCUGACCAUGAAAAUGCUGUAACCUUUACCAAAAAAAAAAAAAUUUGUGUGAGUACUUAUAACGUGAUUUCAUAAUAUUUUUUCCAUCAACCACAUGACCUAUUAUUAUACUAUUCUGACUCUCGGCUAAUAUUUCAUAGAGCUUAAGAAGUUAUUUAGAAAAGCACACUUAUCAUAAGCCAGUAAUAAAAGUUGGUUUAUUUGGCUAUAAAUCAAGUAAUGCACAAAAUUAGGCUAACUACUUGAAAUAAAAACUUCAGUUACUUUUUAUAGUCAUGCACCAUAGCGAGUUUCAAAGUCAAAUUGUUGUUUCGCAACGGUGAUGAGCUGGGAAAAAAGCACGAAUAUAAUUAAGAACAAAUUAUUGUUUCACGUAUAAUGAAGAUCUUUCCUUAUGCAGGACUAACUGCUAAAAAAAAAUGCUAUAUAACCACCUGCAUUCUGCAGCUGGCAACGGAUAUACCAGCCUAGAAUAACUUCGCCUUGAAAACCGCACUUUAGUAAUAGCUUUCACGCCCGCAGAAUUACAAUUUGUCACGAAGAGUCGGGCACUGCUGUCAGGAUUCAUUAUCAACUAGCUAGGUUCGGUUUUAACAACAGUGAUGAUUGGCAAUAUUAGCUGAUGUUAUGCAGGUAGAACAUUUGCAUAAAAUUAGAAACCACACCUCAACAGCUUGAGUACCAAUGUAACGCAAUAGCUAUAACUAAACUGCCAAUGUAAGCGAAUCUCACAUUAAUUUCUAUUUCUUUCACUAUACUAUAAAGUCUUGUUUGUUGGAGGAAAGAGGGAAAGGGUAAAAAACAUAGUGGGAUGUUACCCGAAAUUAUUGUUAUUGUAAUUGUUGUUUGGUUUUGCAGAUGUCCAAAUCACUCUUCAGGAACAUAUGUGCUGAAAAGUGUCAAAAGGUACGGUCUACUGAUAGAUUUCAAGUUUAAUUGUACGCACUGCAACCAAGAACAGCAGUUGAAGUCUGAACCUGUGGAAUGUCUUCUAGUGAGGAGGCAAAGAAAAACUAAACAGGAUGUCAACUUAAACACUAUUUCAGUUGGCUUAGGCUAUGAGCCAUUGCAUGAACUUUUGUCGCUCAAUGAUGUACAACCUAUGAGCCCAGAUUGCUUUUUGUGCCACGAGAAUAAAAUCUGUGAACACUGGAAAGUAAUGUUGGAGAAGGAAAUGGAAAAUACUGCAAUGAAAGAGUUCUUUAUGGCGGAAGACGAUGGACAAAUCUCUAUAGUUGGAAAUGAGGAACAUGCUUGGACCAUAGGAAUUUUGGAUGGAGGUUGGAACCAAAGAUCUUAUGUUCAUAGGUAUUCUGCUAAGUCUGGAUGUGUUAUAAUAAUUGGAUUCUACACUAAGAAAUUGUUGUUCCUUGGUGUGAGGAACAAAUAUUGUAUGUACCGCAUGCAUUCGUAGCAAACGGAUGGAAAAGGAACCCACACCUCACUUUUGUUUCCAGAACUGGACUGAUUCUUCCACUGCAGUGGAAACAGGGAUUAUAGUGGAAGGAUUCCGGUUCUGUGAAGCCAAGUACAAACUUCAAUUUAAGAAGUUUGUUGGCGAUGGUGAUUCCAGUGUGCAUGCAGCCAUAAUUGUGAAUGUUUCGUAUGGAAGAGAUGUUGAAAAGUUUGAAUGUGCCAACCAUGUCAUGAAGAAUCAUCUUAAAAAGGAUCUUUAUGCCAUGGCCAAGGGCAUCCAGACACGCCAUCUCGGCCAGUUGAAAAUCAAAGCCCGUGCAAGAGGUUCUAUCAGCAACUGUGGGGCUAAUGCUAUACAACUUCAAUCAGCACUUCUAAAUGUGCCCAACCAUGUGUUUGGGGACCAUGAGUUAUGCAAUCGAGCAGUGUGUUUUGAGAGCUGGUACAUCAGCGAAUCCCUGCAGUUAUGAUUCAUUGCCUCGUGACUUAGUCGUGGGAAUCAAACAAGCUUUCAACCGAGUGAGAGCAAAGUCACAAGCACUUGUAAUGUAUCUCACAACCAACCAAGCAGAAAUGUACUUGUCAUUAUUUGCGAGGAUGGUAGGCAGUAAUCAGAUUAACCAUUCACAGCAGGGGUCUUGCAGCUGUAGGGCUACUGCUGCUUGUUUGUCUUUCCAACUUCGCUACAAAUGGCGUGGACAAACUAUGAAGGUAAGCCCAGGAGUGACUGUAAGGCGAUUAAUGGCAAAAAGACAGAAACUGUAGGCGAAGGCUGGACGUGAAUCCUCAUGCACCAAAGAAAUCGGAAUCAUCCAAGCCACAGGGUGGUAAGAGCUAUGGUCCUCACGCAACUCAGCCGCCGGCUUCUGGUCGUGAACUAGAAAUUCUGACAGAGCUGGUGAUGAGCUUAGAACUUACAGUGGAAGAGAUAAAUGAUCUGGAGGUGCGGACGCAAGAUCAAGGAAGCAGUCGGUUGUGGAUGAAGGAGAGGAGAGAAUGAAACACUGCUUCCUUUUUCGGACUUGUCUGCGAAAUGAGGGAAAAUAUUUUGUGUAAAUUGACGGUGGAAGCGAUUGCUUAGUUGUAUUUUGGAGAAUGCUGCCACAAUACAUGGUCUUGCAAACGAGUGCUUAGCUGUUGCUUUGUACGAAGAAAUAGCAGGCCAUACUGUUCAACAGUUGACUAUCGUUGCUUUCUUGCAGCUUCUUCCGAUGGUUUGAUUGAUGAUGAUGGUUUGGUGGAGGUUAAAAUGUCCAUACUCUGCAAGGGAACUUAACCCUUUAGAUGUUGCAGUGCAGCUGAAAACGUUCUUUUGCAGAGUUGUCGAAAGCGAGCUUUGCGUGAAUCGCUCUCACAAUUACUUCUAUCAAGUGCAAGGGCAAUUGUGUAUCACACGAAGAAAGUGGUGUACUUUGUUGUUUGGACAAUGAAAGGCAUUUCAAUAGAAAAAAUUGUGAGGGAUAGUCGUUUCUGGCUUGAGAAAAUGGAGUCAAAUUGCAAGGAAGUGCAAUGUGGUGAGUGCGUGCUGCUCCCUAUGACUCGAUAGCCACCUGCACAAAUAUUGAUUAGGGCCAUGUGUUUUUUCAAAUGCUAAAAUAGCAGCUGACUCAUUAUACAUUUCCUGUAUUUUUUUUGUUUGUUAGUAAAUUAAUAAGAAUUA